UCCUCCUCCUCCUACUGAGCUACCCCUUUAGCUUUACAUGACUCUGUUCCUUUUCUUCUUUCUUUGGUGCUUUUUCAGUUCUUCUUUCUCUGUCCAGCCACAUGAUGUUCUUCCUUUUCAUUGUGCUGAUGACGAGGGCUUCGUUCAUGGCACAAGGGUUCCAAAUUUAUCAACCUUCUAUCUAUCUGUCAAAGCAAAUUUCUCUCGAGAUCUCGGAUCUCAUCAUAGCUAAUGUUGCGCGUGAGAAGCUAGCAGUGGUGGGUUUCAGUACGAAGCUUGCAGUCGUUCUAUGAUCCUAAUUUUCUUAAUACAAUGGUUCUAUGAUCCUAAUGAAGGCAUCAAGAACCAUUAUUGUAUUUGAAAGAAGAAUGUGAAUAAUGGAAGUGAAGGUAGAGUUCGAAGAAGGGGGUUCAUGGGAGAAAUAAUAAUCGAAGAUGUAAAAGUCGGAUGCAACACAAGUAUUUCCAUGGCUUCUCUGGGAUGUUCAGUGACAUAUUACUUGGCUUCUACAGCUAAGUCCAUGUUUCCUGGUUUUGCUUCUCAGUUUGGAGUUCUCUGGCUGUUGCCACUUUGAUAUCCUUGACUCUGCAACUUCCAUGGUGGUCUGUGCCGUUCAGUGUAAUAUCAAUAGUAGGAAUCAUUAAGGUGGCACUUUUAAAAUGGAGCCAAAAACUUUUUUUUUUUUUCAAUUUUAAACACUUAAUUUUUACCUAAGUCAUGAAUCAAGUCAAUAGAGUCAUUAUUAGAGAGGAA